rnacentral:rRNA from 1 species
CAGUCGCCGCGGUAAUACAGAGGGUGCAAGCGUUAAUCGGAUUUACUGGGCGUAAAGGGCGCGUAGGUGGUUAUGUAAGUGAGAUGUGAAAUCCCCGGGCUCAACCUGGGAACUGCAUCUUAUACUGCGUAGCUGGAGUGCAGUAGAGGGUAGUGGAAUUUCCGGUGUAGCGGUGAAAUGCGUAGAUAUCGGAAGGAACACCAGUGGCGAAGGCGGCUACCUGGACUGACACUGACACUGAGGCGCGAAAGCGUGGGGAGCAAACAGGAUUAGAUACCCGUGUAGUCCCUGUCUCUUAUAC